rnacentral:tRNA from 1 species
GCGGAGUUGCCGGAGCGGUCAAACGGGGCGCCCUCAAGAGGCGCUGGCUUAGUGCCUGCGAAGGUUCGAAUCCUUUACUCCGCA